rnacentral:rRNA from 1 species
AUUGAACGCUGGCGGCAGGCUUAACACAUGCAAGUCGAGCGAGCGGCGGGCGGGUGAGAAGUGUCUGGGAAACCGCCUGAUGGAGGGAGAUAACCUCUGGAAACGGUCGAUAAUCGCGCAUACCCUCAGAUGCGCCCAGAUGGGAUGAGCUAGGAGGUGGGGUAAUGGCACACCUAGUAGACGAUCCAUCGCUGGUCUGAGAGGAUGACCAGCCACACUGGAACUGAGACACGGUCCAACCUCCUACGGGAGGCAGCAGUGGGGAAUAUUGCACAAUGGGCGCAAGCCUGAUGCAGCCAGGCCGCGUGUGUGAAGAAGGCCUUCGGGUUGUAAAGUACUUUCAGCGGGGAGGCGUUACCCGCAGAAGAAGCACCGGCUAACUCCGUGCCAGCAGCCGCGGUAAUAC